UACCAUGUGAAACCUGGGUGCACAAGGAUAAGAGUGGGCAGCACAAAAUAAGUGAGAGUCCUAACUUGUUUGGACUCUUAUCUCCUACACAAUCUCUAGCUCUAUCUCUUCUCUAUUUAAACACCAUCAUAUGGGAUGGUUAGAAGACCAGAUGGGGAUCAGAUUGAUGCCUAAAAGAGAGCCCAUUUGUGUGUGAGAAAUCAUGGGAAAAAAGUGGGACGGCAUGA
rnacentral:lncRNA from 1 species